rnacentral:tRNA from 3 species
GCGGGCGUGGUGGAAUUGGUAGACACGCAGGAUUUAGGUUCCUGUGGGCUUGCCCGUGGGGGUUCAAGUCCCUCCGCCCGCACCA